rnacentral:rRNA from 1 species
AGAGUUUGAUCCUGGCUCAGGAUUAACGCUAGCGGCAGGCCUAAUACAUGCAAGUCGAGGGGCAGCACGGGUAGCAAUACCUGGUGGCGACCGGCGCACGGGUGCGUAACACGUAUGCAACCUACCUUUAACUGGGGCAUAGCCCCGAGAAAUCGGGAUUAAUACCCCAUAACAUUAUGAUGAGGCAUCUCAUUAUAAUUAAAGUACCAACGGUUAAAGAUGGGCAUGCGGGACAUUAGCUAGUUGGUGAGGUAACGGCUCACCAAGGCUCCGAUGUCUAGGGGUUCUGAGAGGAUCAUCCCCCACACUGGUACUGAGACACGGACCAGACUCCUACGGGAGGCAGCAGUAAGGAAUAUUGGGCAAUGGGCGCAAGCCUGACCCAGCCAUGCCGCGUGCAGGAUUGACGGCCCUAUGGGUUGUAAACUGCUUUUGUACGGGAAAAAACCCCUGGUCGUGUACCAGGGCUGAUGUUACCGUAAGAAUAAGCAUCGGCUAACUCCGUGCCAGCAGCCGCGGUAAUACGGAGGAUGCAAGCGUUAUCCGGAUUCAUUGGGUUUAAAGGGUGCGCAGGCGGAACGAUAAGUCAGUGGUGAAAGCCUACAGCUUAACUGUAGAAUUGCCAUUGAUACUGCCGUUCUUGAGUAUAGUUGGAGUGAGCGGAAUGUAUCAUGUAGCGGUGAAAUGCAUAGAUAUUACUUAGAACACCAAUUGCGAAGGCAGGUCACUAUGUUUUAACUGACGCUGAUGGACGAAAGCGUGGGGAGCAAACAGGAUUAGAUACCCUGGUAGUCCACGCCCUAAACUAUGUCAACUAGUUGUUGGGCCUUAAUAGGCUUGGUAACGUAGCUAACGCGUGAAGUUGACCGCCUGGGGAGUACGGUCGCAAGAUUAAAACUCAAAGGAAUUGACGG